UUACACAUGCAAGUCGAACGGCAGCACGGACUUCGGUCUGGUGGCGAGUGGCGAACGGGUGAGUAAUACAUCGGAACGUGCCUAGUAGUGGGGGAUAACUACUCCAAAGAGUGGCUAAUACCGCAUGAGAUCUACGGAUGAAAGCAGGGGAUCGCAAGACCUUGUGCUACUAGAGCGGCUGAUGGCAGAUUAGGUAGUUGGUGGGAUAAAAGCUUACCAAGCCGACGAUCUGUAUCUGGUCUGAGAGGACGAUCAGCCACACUGGGACUGAGACACGGCCCAGACUCCUACUGGAGGCAGCAGUGGGGAAUUUUGGACAAUGGGCGCAAGCCUGAUCCAGCAAUGCCGCGUGCAGGAUGAAGGCCUUCGGGUUGUAAACUGCUUUUGUACGGAACGAAAAGCUUCGGGCUAAUACCCUGGAGUCAUGACGGUACCGUAAGAAUAAGCACCGGCUAACUACGUGCC
rnacentral:rRNA from 1 species